AGGUGGGAGAAUCGCUUGAACCUGGGAGGUGGAGGUUGCAGUGAGCUGAGAUCACGCCACUGCCCUCCAGCCUGGGCAACAGAG
rnacentral:miRNA from 1 species